rnacentral:misc_RNA from 1 species
UUUCCGUAGGUGAACCUGCGGAAGGAUCAUUAAAAAAUUGGACUCCAUUGGUGAGUUCAUUAAUAAUCCCUACCCUUUGUGAAUUUGUUUGUUUGAAUAAUUUUUUUUCCAAAAAAAAUUAUUGAAUGUCUUUCCCUGUUUUGGUGGAGCUUGUAAAGUGAAACCAGGCAGGGGAAUGGCAAACAAUAAUUAUUUUUGAAAAAAGACCUUUUUUUAAAAUUAAACUUUUUGUAUUCAUUUGUCUAAAAUUAUUUUUAUAAUAUAAAAACAACUUUUGACAAUGGAUCUCUUGGUUCUCGCAACGAUGAAGAACGCAGCAAAAUGCGAUAAGUAGUGUGAAUUGCAGAAUACGUGAAUCAUCGAAUCUUCGAACGCAUAUUGCACUUUUUUAGUUUACUAAAAAAGUAUGUCUGUUUGAGUAUCAGUAAAAUAUUCUCAUAAAAAACAUUGUUUUUUUAUGGCUAUGAGUGUUUUACAACGAUAACAAGUUGUUUCACUUUAAAUUCUUUGUUAUCAAAAAAAUCAUUAAAAGCUAAUUUUAAAGAUUUUUUAAAAUUGGAUAAAAUUUUCCCGUAAAAAGGAAUAACCUAAACAAUUUUAAAAAAUUAAAAUUGGUUUGAUUUUUUUGAAACCCAAAGGAAAAAAAAACGAAAUUAACUUGAUCUCAAAUCAGAUAAGAGUACCCGCUGAACUUAAGCAUAUCAAUAAGCGGAGGAAAAGAAACUAACUAGGAUUCCCUCAGUAACGGCGAGUGAAGCGGGAAGAGCUCAAAUUUGAAAUCUUCAAGGUUUUACCUUGACGAAUUGUAGUUUAAAGAAGUGUUUUCUGUUGGAGUUUUGGUAAAAGUUCUUUGGAAAAGGACAUCAUAGAGGGUGAGAAUCCCGUAUUUGACCAUUAUCUCCAGCUUUGUGAUACACUUUCAAAGAGUCGGAUUGUUUGGGAAUGCAGUCCAAAAUGGGUGGUAAAUUUCAUCUAAAGCUAAAUACUGGCGAGAGACCGAUAGCGAACAAGUACCGUGAGGGAAAGAUGAAAAGAACUUUGAAAAGAGAGUUAAACAGUACGUGAAAUUGUCAAAAGGGAAGCGUUUGACACCAGUGUUGUUUUCUCGAAAAUCAAUUAAAAAAGGCCGGAUUUUGUGUUGUAUUGACUUUAUCAGCUUUCUGCACUUUUUUCUUGUCUUUUUUAAUGCACUUUUCGUUUAACAAGUCAACAUCAAUUUCUUUUGUUGUAAAAGGGUCAUUGGAAGGUGGCUUUCUUUUCGGAGAAAGUGUUUAUAGCCUUUGGCCUCUGCAAUCGGAGAGAUUGAGGUCUGCAGCGUAGAUCCUUCGGGGUUAGAUACAUUUGUGCUAAGUUAUAGCCUUUCAUAGACAACUUGUUGACUAUGAUCAGUCAUGUAGCUUACUCGCUUAUGCUAUUU